rnacentral:rRNA from 1 species
AGCGAACGCUGGCGGCAGGCUUAACACAUGCAAGUCGAACGGUCCUUCGGGAUAGUGGCGGACGGGUGAGUAACACGUGGGAACGUACCCUUAGGUUCGGAACAACACAGGGAAACUUGUGCUAAUACCGGAUAAGCCAUUCGGGGGAAAGAUUUAUCGCCUUUGGAGCGGCCCGCGUCUGGUUAGCUUGUUGGUGAGGUAAUGGCUCACCAAGGCUACGAUCAGUAGCUGGUCUGAGAGGAUGGCCAGCCACACUGGGACUGAGACACGGCCCAGACUCCUACGGGAGGCAGCAGUGGGGAAUCUUGCGCAAUGGGCGAAAGCCUGACGCAGCCAUGCCGCGUGGAUGAUGAAGGUCUUAGGAUUGUAAAAUCCUUUCACCGGGGACGAUAAUGACGGUACCCGGAGAAGAAGCCCCGGCUAACUUCGUGCCAGCCGCCGCGGUAA